GAAGGGGGCUAGCGUUGCUCGGAAUUACUGGGCGUAAAGGGAGCGUAGGCGGAYUGUUUAGUCAGAGGUGAAAGCCCAGGGCUCAACCUUGGAAUUGCCUUUGAUACUGGCAGUCUUGAGUACGGAAGAGGUAUGUGGAACUCCGAGUGUAGAGGUGAAAUUCGUAGAUAUUCGGAAGAACACCAGUGGCGAAGGCGACAUACUGGUCCGUUACUGACGCUGAGGCUCGAAAGCGUGGGGAGCAAACAGGAUUAGAUACCCUGGUAGUCCACGCCGUAAACGAUGARUGCUAGUUGUCGGCAUGCAUGCAUGUCGGUGACGCAGCUAACGCAUUAAGCACUCCGCCUGGGGAGUACGGUCGCAAGAUUAAA
rnacentral:rRNA from 1 species